UUCGCAUUGAACGUAUCGCGGAUAUGUUGCGUUGCCUCGCGUUGCGUACAACAUCAACAACAUCAUAAUCAUCAAAUUCUCCAAUUGAUGUACUCCAUUCGACAAUUCGACUUUAAAAAUAUUUUCACAAUAAUUUUCACGUUACAAUUUCACGUACAUGGAUACUCUAGGAAGCAGCAACAUAGCGCUACAGUGAGCGAGUGAACGAGCGCACGAACAAACGCACAGACAAUUUCAAUGGCCAACAACAGCAGUGUCGUGCUGCUGCUGCUGGCGAACGUUCAGCAACUAAAAACUAGGAGGAGGCGAAAAACUGUGAAUGGCAAAAAUUGAAGAAAAAAUGUGCAGAUUUUUUAAAUAAAAAUAUGAGUUCAAAACGAAAAUGAAUAAAUAUGCAAAGAAAAAUAUGAA
rnacentral:misc_RNA from 1 species